rnacentral:pre_miRNA from 1 species
AAUAUAAUCCCUCCGUCCCAAAAUUCUUGUCUUAUAUUUGUCUAGAUACGGAUGUAUCUAAUACUAAAAUGUGACUUGAUACAACCGUAUUUAGACAAAUCUAAGACAAGAAUUUUGGGACAGGGGAGUACUUU